rnacentral:rRNA from 1 species
GACGAACGCUGGCGGCGUGCUUAACACAUGCGAGUCGAACGGAAAGGCCCUGCUUUUGUGGGGUGCUCGAGUGGCGAACGGGUGAGUAACACGUGAGUAACCUGCCCUUGACUUUGGGAUAACUUCAGGAAACUGGGGCUAAUACCGGAUAGGAGCUCCUGCUGCAUGGUGGGGGUUGGAAAGUUUCGGCGGUUGGGGAUGGACUCGCGGCUUAUCAGCGUGUUGGUGGGGUAGUGGCUUACCAAGGCUUUGACGGGUAGCCGGCCUGAGAGGGUGACCGGCCACAUUGGGACUGAGCUACGGCCCAGACUCCUCCGGGAGGCAGCAGUGGGGAAUAGUGCACGAUGGGCUGAAGCCUGAUGCAGCAACGCCGCGUGCGGGAUGACGGCCUUCGGGUUGUAACCCGCUUUCGCCUGUGACGAAGCGUGAGUGACGGUAAUGGGUAAAGAAGCACCGGCUAACUACGUG